GUGGAUCAAGAUGCAGAACUCUCAG
rnacentral:piRNA from 1 species